UACGAAGGGUGCAAACGUUGCUCGGAAUUAUUGGGCGUAAAGCGCACGUAGGCGGCAUAGCAAGUCUGAUGUGAAAUCCCUCGGCUUAACCAAGGAAGCGCAUCGGAAACUGCUGUGCUUGAGUACGAAAGAGGAUCGCGGAAUUCCCGGUGUAGAGGUGAAAUUCGUAGAUAUUGGGAAGAACACCAGUGGCGAAGGCGGCUCACUGGCCCGGUACUGACGCUGAGGCGCGAAAGCGUGGGGAGCAAACAGG
rnacentral:rRNA from 1 species